rnacentral:rRNA from 1 species
GAUGAACGCUAGCGGGAGGCCUAAUACAUGCAAGUCGAACGGUAACAGGUAGCAAUACGCUGACGAGUGGCGCACGGGUGCGUAACGCGUACACAAUCUGCCUUAUACUGGGGCAUAGCCUUUGGAAACGAAGAAUAAUUCCCCAUAACAUAUAGAAGAGGCAUCUCUUUUAUAUUAAAGCUCAGGCGGUAUAAGAUGAGUGUGCGUCCGAUUAGGUAGUUGGUGAGGUAACGGCUCACCAAGCCAACGAUCGGUAGCUGGUCUGAGAGGAUGAUCAGCCACACGGGCACUGAGACACGGGGCCCGACUCCUACGGGAGGCAGCAGUAGGGAAUAUUGGACAAUGGGCGCAAGCCUGAUCCAGCCAUCCCGCGUGAAGGAUGAAGGUCCUCUGGAUUGUAAACUUCUUUUCUUCGGGAAUAAAAACUAGGGGUUCUCCUCAGCUUGAAGGUACCGAAGGAAUAAGACGACCGGACUAACUCCGUG